UUGGCAUGAAUAGUUUUCUUUAACUCAAUUUUGUAAGCACCUCUUGUCACUGUACCUUGUGCCCACAUGUCCAAACAGCAGAUCUGGACUAUGUACCUACUUGGGUACACCCUCUUUCCACUGAAAUGCAGCCCUUCUGUUUCACAUGGAUUAAAAAGUACAAAAAAUGACAUCCAGUGCAGUGUGAGCAUCCCAACAGUACAGGAGCACGGAUGAGGGAUAAAAGCAUAGGAGUGGAGGCGCUGCAGUGGUUCCUUCCUUGGGCAGGGCAAUGGUUAGGUGCUCAUUGGUGUCGAUGUCGGUCUCUCUUCUCCAUGCCUAACAUCAUGCAUGGAGCCAAUGGGGCUAUGUUGGGACAGGACACCAUGGGUCACCUCCUUUGCUGGCACAUGGGGAGCAGCUGCUGCCUGCAGAGAAACCAUCCCGAAGGUCAAGCUCUGCACAUGCUUUGUCUUAGUCACAGUGGUUUUCUCAGCCCUAAUUGAUAACUGAUGAGAAAACCUUCUGCUCUACGCAUGCCUAUGCAUAUGUAUAGACGUGCACACAGAUGAACACGUGUGUAUAUAAAUGGAUCUCUUUAAAUUUAAAUAGAUUUAUGCCCAAGGGCAGGAAGGUGGAUAAAAGGUCGUUACAAAGAGAGGAGAUCCAACACAUCUGUGCGCUCCAUUGUGAGGAUUAAAUCUGUAGUAGGCUGCAUUCAGUGCUAAUACUCCUAUUAAUUUCUAUUUUUCAUUAUUGUUUUCACAUUUGUCAAGCUUCGAUGAAGGGAUAAUGAAGUAAACGGAUGUUAACUGCAAAUUAAUCAUCCCUGUCCUGAUAGCGUAACACAAGUUCCUUUUCACUUACCUUCAUCACUUAGAAAUAGCAACACACGUUACAUAUUCAUAGCAGCAAAACCUGCUGGAUUCCGUAAGAUAGCAAAAAAAAAAAAAAAAAAAGGAAAAAGACUGACUUAUUUCUAAAGAAAGUAGAGAUACUCAUUGAAAAUGCUGGUUUGAACUCCGAGAAGGAGCUGGGAAAGAUGAGGGUGUAGCAAUGCAUGGAGAGCUUGUGAGAAACCACGCGCGAGUAUGGAUCUAUGGCUGUGUUUAGCUAUUGAAGUUGAGAUGAUUUGAAGGUCUCUCUUUUUUUAUUUAAACUGGAGUGUGUUUCUUCUCAUUGUGUGGCAAGAGACAGAUGCAUUUGGCAAUAGAGAGGUUUUUUUUUUCUUGCAAACCUCUUUGUUUUGGAACUUGAUUUCUCUGAGCCUGGUUUUGUGGUGGUGUUGGGUUUUUGGGAGCCUGGAGGUUCCUCGGUACCAGCAUGAAUGAGAACAGUGUCAGUGAGACUUUGGGCUUAUUGAGGUCCUUCUAAGUGACCACAGAGGGGCUGGAGGUGGGGCUGGAGAGCCCCCAGCCCCAGUGAUGUGUUUGCUCAGGGGUUACAUUGGUAUCUGCUGGAGGCUUUGGGCACACUGCUCUGGGACAGUUGCUCCUGGGCUUUGAGCACUUGCUUGUUUUCAGCUUGGACUUUGACUCAGGCAAAUGUAUGAAUUUCUGCUUGGAUGUUUUACUCCCAAUGGGGUGAUGUUGGGUUUUAUGGUAUUAAAGACCUGUGUUUCAUGGUAAAUGAAGCCAUUCCUGGGGGAAGUGGCCACUGUGGGUUCAUCCCGGAGGUGCUCAGAGAAUACUCCAAGGUUUGCAGGCAUUGUCUGGGAGGAGGCAUCAUUUUGGGCAUUUCUUAAAGCAAUUUCUCCCAGCCUUUGUCACUUCCUUUUUAUCAUGUUUAUCCUUGCCAGUACUUGGUACAGUCGUCCUUCUUUUACCAGUCACUUGAGAAUGAUGGUAACACAGCAGUUUUCCAUACCUGUACCAACAUCACUUUUUGUCUUCCCAACUUGGAUUUAUUACUGGUCCUUCCUUUUUGAAAUGCAAAGUUUUUGCAGCAAAUAGUCAUCUAAUCAUUGUCCAGUGACACCUCUACCAGGAUAUUGCCUUUCCUGCUGUCCCCAUCACUUGUUUGGAGGCACCAAGUGACAUUUUCCUGCAUAGCUUUCACUCGCCUGCUGUCCUGGAGAAACAGCCUCAUCCUGCUUACCCUGUGCUUGGGUCAGGAUGGGCAGCCAACCUCUGUCCGCAGACCCACUUUCUGCAUCCAACUCAUCUUGAUUAUACACAGAACCUUCCCACUGUCUCCCCUCCUCUUCUCUCUUCACAUUCCCUACUUUUUUUUUUUUUUUUUUAUCUCUUCUCCCUCUCAACAGGUGCUGACAGAACAUUUUCUCGCUGUAGUUCUGUUGGAUUUCAAAGGCCUGGAUUUCACUCCUCUCCCACUAUCUCGGCUAUGUGCUCUCCAAGCUGAAACAUCUCCAUUCAUUUAGUAAGCCAUAGAAAGAAACAAAGCAAUGGAGAGGGACAUAAGUAUUCCAGAAUUCAGUGCUCUGACAGCGCAGUUAACUAACAUUGACCUCUGGCUACUUCUGUGGCUGCUGUGUAACGCUUCAUACUGAGUGUUUCUUUUGUUUUGUCUCCAGCCCAAGAAUUCAUUUUUUAAUAAGAAAACUCAGAAGUGCCUCUGAAGGGUAUGGGCUCAUGAGCAUCACUACUGUGUUGCAGACGUGCAAGCUUCACUCGCUCACAUGGUCCACGGUUUCCAGCUAUUUGGAUUAAUGAGGGUCCAGUGUAGUCCUUGCUUUCUCCUCUUGCAAGAUGCAGGCAAUAGAGCCUCGGAUCUGCCUUUGCCUCUUCAGGCAUCUUCUCCAUGCCAUCACGUGUGCACACCGCUGCUUGGAGAGCCUUGGAGAAGAGGAGGGAAGGCUCUCAACAUGCUAAGCGAGCGGCUGGUUUACUUUCCUUGUUGCUCCCAUGGCUGGAGGAGCAGCACACUUCAUGCACCUGCCUCCAGUCCCUAGAGUCAGCUGUUAAAUCUAGCUCUAGUUAUUUGCUCUUGAAAUUCAGUCCUGCCUUUCAUGGGCCUCUUCUGCUUUAUAUCUGUCCUCAUGCUCAGGGGUUCCCUUUACUGUCAAACUGCUUCUUCCCCUCUUUUUUGCCCUGUCACCCAGCUCUCCCACAGGUGGAUUUUCUAGUUGCAUGCAUCCUGGUCCCCUUCCCAGGACAAAGGUGCCCCGUGUUUUCUGCCUUGCUGCCUCCCAUCUCCUCUAUUGCCCAUGACUUGCUUCCUUUUCCCAGGACAAAAGAUAAUCCUCAUUUCUCGGCACAGAUAACCGAUUGGCUCUGCUGAAGAACAGAAAAGGAAUUUGCUUCACCUGUGCACAAGGGCUGAAGGAUGGUGAGUGCUCCUCCUAGCGAGGUCCUUUGCUCUCCCAGGGCUGUGGGGAGUGUGCUGGGACUCAGUUCUCAGAUCUCAACCCCACAGUGAGAAAUGAUGCAUAAUCCAAGUCACUGCACUUCUCCUUGCUCCUGUUCUUGGCCUGGCUGUCUGAGUGUUGAUUCCUCUGGCUACCCUGGAGCAUCUUUAUUUCCCUUUGACCUUCACAAAGCCAGCAGUGCUUCCUCUGGGAAGGAGGAAGAAGACUCAGUCCAUCAAGACCCACGUCCCUGUGGUCUUUCAUCAGCUUGUCCACCCGAAGUGGCAGGGACCCGUGCCCCUUCCCACCCUGGGACUGGGAUUUGGAUGUAGUGGGUGCUGCUGUCAGAGCUGUGCAAACCUGACCUUCCUGAAGGGUUUAGGAUCCUAAAUCACACAGGCUUAUCAAAAAAUAAAAUCCAGGCUCUCAAGUGUCUCAAGCAGUUAAGCUCAUUUUGUGGAGAGAUGUGAGAUAUUUCUAAAUGGAAUCAGGAAUGGAGGAAGCAGCUGGGUACGUUUUAAUUCUAAUUUUUCCUAUAUAUCAAGCGUUAAAUUAACAAGUGAGGGAGAACACUACUGAGGAGCUAUCUGCUGUUUAGACAGGCAUAUCAGGAUAAAAUUACUCUGUGCUUGCCCGUGGUUUGUCUGGAUACUCCUGGAACUGCACCAGUAAAGAGUAUAAUUGCACUGCUCUUUGAGGCUUCGGGUUUGGUGCUGCGAAUCCUCCCCACCGUCUGACUACGCAAGGCUUGAUGACGUUAGGUAAUUAUUCCCUGUAGGCAAUUUCUACCGAGGCAGGGCACAAUGCUCCUCAGAGGAUGCGCUAUCAGGAGAAAAGGGAGAAUGGCUCAAGCAAAGGAUUAAUAUUUUUAGCUGUAAAGACGGUUGGCUCGAAUGUUUGCUGGAGAGAGGAUUUCCUUGCUGUGUUUCAGCAUGGGAGUCUAAUUGGCACAGGAAAGACACUGCAGUUUAGACGAUGAUGUCUACUUCUGAAUGACCAAUGUAAUUCACAGACUACCUCAAUAUCAUCAGUACUUCUUAAAGCAUUGUUUUCAUUUUACAACAGUGAGAAUAAGGAUCAAUACCAUUGUUUUCAAAUUAGAGUAAAUGAGUUUAAAAUCAGAACCCUCCCCAACAUUGGUUGCCACAUGGUAUUGGGCACUGAGGGCUUUGGGUUAAUUCACAUCCGUACAUAUCACCUUUAUGGAGCACAGGCACAGCCAGCUGUACCUCAUAGGUGCACUUUGAGUAGUCGUGUCUCUGUGUUCAUAUUGACUUUCACUGAAGCUCAGACAUCAAAUGCUUCAGUGCACUGAAUGUGAUAUUUUUUCUCAAUCCAAGUCCCAGGAGGACUCACUCCAGGCAUCCCCACUCAAUGAAAUAUUGUCUCUGCCGCCAGGGAAAGCAAUCUCUUGAGAAACAAGCCUGGAUGUAGAGGAACAGAUCAUUUCCCAGCAACCUUUUGAUAUUGUCAAACCUUCAAUCUUUUGAUGAUUUUUGGACUUGGUGACUACACUGGACCAGCCUUGGGCACUAAAUGCUUAAUUUCCACCAGUGUUUAUUAUUAUUCCUUUUGCAUAUCUCACAUCAUUUAAUGGUAGAUGUAGCACUGUGGUUUCCAUUUUAUAGAUGGAAUAGUUGUGUUGCAGACGGAUAACUGGACAGCCUGGAAAGUAGGUGCAAGCCUGCUCUGGGUAGCUGAGUUCCUUUUGCAAUGCCAGCGUGCCUGAAGGAUGCUUGUGUGAACAUGCCCUGACAUUUGUAGUUCAGGUUGGUAGAUGUCGCAGAAAUGCUGACUCAUGGCUUGAAGCAGUGAUUGAGCACCUGGUGGAAGGCAGGGCCAACCCAGGGGAGCUCAGGUGCUUGCAGUGUACCCCAGUGACUACAAGGGUGGAGCCAGGAUCCAGCCCUUCCCUGACCUCAUUAAAGAGUCAGCAGUGGAGGUGAGGGUACUUCCCUGGAGAUUCUUGCCUACUUGGGGCUUUCUGUAGCAUGCUUCCAUGCGUUGCAGAGCCUCAAAAAAAGCAGCAGCAGGAAGCUUAGAUUCUAUUUCCCACUCUUUCCCAGCUACAAUGAAGAUGUUCUGCUAGCAGAUGUUACAUGAUGGCAUCCUGGUAUUCAUUUUAAUGCUGGGGAAGUAGUGGCAGAAAUGGUCUUCAAGAAACCAGCAUCUACUGAAGAUGGCAGGGCUGGAGAUGCUGCCAAAAGAGCCACAAAAGCAUGAUGCAAACUCAGUCCUCUUGCUGGGCUUUGGGAACUGCUCAGCUUUCAGCUGCAUUUGUGCCACUCCGGCUGUUUCUGGUUAAGAGAAAGUUGGAGAAGUGCCCUUUUGCCCAAGGUCUGAUCUCCUAAGGGCUGCUGAGGUGUUAGCUGAUCCCCCUUGUUGCUGCACAGCUACCUCUGUUUCAAUGCAAGUACAUGAGGGCAUCAGCAGUAGUCUGUAUGCUGUGGAUGUAUCAGUGUAAUACAUGAGAUGGUUCUUUUUCCCAUCUCCACUUCUGCAGGCUCCAGUAUGCUGCCUGAGUUCCCCUUUGGACUCCAGAGUCCCAUUGAGAUCAUGACAGCCAUGUUUAUGUGCUAUUCUAAUGCUGGUUGUUGCAGUGUAAGUGCUUUUUAAUGCACGGCAUUACAGCAGGUGCAUGCUGUUCUCUCCCUUACCGAAUGACUGUCUGGAGGGAUGUAAUUCCAGCUUCUGCUUCAGCACGCCGUUAUUUACAAGUGUGGUUACAUGGUUUGUGCCACCUCUGAGCUUAAUUUAGUUAAUUUGGCACACAGCACACAAGAACCACCUUUACAGAAUGUGUGCUGUGUUACCCAGCUGGCUUAGGGAUCCCAUAACUGCAUCCCAGAGGUGACAGACUUCAGAAGAGCAUCCAGGGAGCUAUGAGUAGUGGUGUCAGUAACAUGAAAUCCCAUCACUCCUACACAUAAAGCUAGAGCAGGACACAUGCAGUGUGUGUCUUGGGGUGAGCAGGUCUAUGGCAGCUCCUUGGCCAUUGACACAGGGUUAUGGAUUUGCAGAUGUGGUUGUGUACAGUCAUACUGGACUGGUUCCUAUAGCUACUUUCAGUGUGAAGUUCCUCUGAUGGAGGGAGCUCAGCUGGAAGCAAUACAGCUAACAAAGGUGUUCUGUGCUGAUGUGGUUGUUUUUUGGUUGUUUUUGGUUUUUUUUGUUUUUUUUUCCAGAGGGAACUAUCUGUUCUGAUGAUGUUCUCUUGACCAUGUGUACCUCUUGCCCCUUGCAGCCUGAAAAUUACUUGCCACAAUAACCAGUGCUGUAGACACUAAAAGUGAAAUUCAGAUACCUGGAAAGGAGAAAUCCAGUGCAAAGACAGCUCCUUUGCAGGUCCUCCUCCCAUCCAGAAGGUACUCAAAGCUUGGUGGGUGACUUCUGGGGUUACCUGCCAGUGCUGGCUUCCCCAGGAGCUACUUGAGAUGGUUCAGAGCCAACAGGUUUUACCCUCUUUGCCAGGGUCACCAGUUUCUGGGGGUGUUGCUGGUCAUGAACCACCUUGUCCAGGUAGCGAGUGGGGAUCUGGGCUGCUGCAAUGCAAGAGAUGGAAGAUAAAAAAAAAACAGAUAUAGAUAACAUGCAAAUUUAAUAGGUUAAAGGAUCAGGGUUUUUGUUUCAUGGAAAAGAAAUCCCACUGACUGCUUUUCUGUAUCUAUCCAUGCUACCACUUUCCAAUAUCUGUGUUUUCCUCUACUCACCGUGUUGCUACAGUGAUUCCAGUUUGCCCUGAUAUCCACAAGGAGAUGAAUUUCAAAGGUGGUUCCCAUGGGUGCUCCUACAGGCAGCGAGGAGACCAGGGAUGUGAGAGAAUCACACAAGCAGCAGAGAAGCAAAACAUCUCCUUAGGGCUCCUGUGGCUGUUUGCGCUGAUGCCAGCCCAUGAUCUGUUUCUUCCAAUGGUCGAACCCUGCUGGAUUGACCGCAAGUUGCUCCAGCACUAGGGUCAGUCAGAGCUCCAUGUGGCUAUGGGAAAGGUUUGGUGACUGGGAGAUUUCUGCAUUGAGUACAGGCAGGGUGAUGAUGUUCAUGGCUUCAUCUAGGGCUCCUUUUUCUUUGCGAAGAACUCUUGCUUGCUCUGCCAGUUUGCAGCACUGCUGAGGUCUCUCUAAUCUCCAGGCAUUGCUGUCUCUUAUGUUUUCUAUGUCUCAGGUGCUCAAUAAAUGUUAAAUAAUAAAUGCUAAA